GCCGAAUUAGCUCAGUGGUAGAGCAACCGCCUUGUAAGCGGUAGGUCAUCUGUUCAAAUUACGAUGUGACA
rnacentral:tRNA from 1 species